CUCCUGCUUUUUCCCCAGGUUUCCUGGUGAACCUAAUGUUAUUUUAUUUAUCACAACAUAUGAAUAAAUGAAGAAGGGGAUUCUUGUUCCAAGAACUUCAAGUUCAAGCAUUCCAUUUUCACCUUCAACCUACAAAGGAAAUCUCCAAUAGCACUUUUAAACAAGAGGAAUAAUAAAAAUUGUGGUGGGUUAGAAAAUGGUUCAAUGGUGAAGAAAUGAGGUUUGUUAAACAGGAUGGAACUUGAUGAUGGAUCAUAAGAGAAACUUCAAAAGGAAAUGCAACUUUACUAGGAGACAGAAAGCAAAACAGUACCAUGUUGAUGACCAGUGAACAUCUGAACUGGAAAAACAAAAAUAAGAACAGGAAAUGAAAAAGAAACUGAAAGAGCCACUAAUACUGUGUAUGUCAACAGAGGGAAAAUCGAUCUGCAGCAUAAUUCACCAAAUGAGCAAAGCCAGGACCUAGAAAAGCUAAAAUGGAACAACGAAUCUAUCCCUUCUCAUUUUGGGGAAGAUUCUCCUGCAG